rnacentral:rRNA from 1 species
UUUGUAUAAUGGGUCAGCGACUUAUGUUCAGUGGCGAGGUUAACCGUUUAGGGGAGCCGUAGGGAAACCGAGUCUGAAUAGGGCGAUUUAGUCGCUGGGCAUAGACCCGAAACCGGGCGAUCUAUCCAUGAGCAGGUUGAAGGUUGAGUAACAUCAACUGGAGGACCGAACCCACUGUCGUUGAAAAGCCAGGGGAUGACUUGUGGAUCGGA